GAUGAACGCUGGCGGCGUGCCUAAUACAUGCAAGUCGAGCGAAGUGGGGACGGGUGAGUAACGCGUGGAUACCCUCCUAUAAGACUGGGAUAACUGCGGGAAACCGGAGCUAAACCGGAUACUUCUAGAUGGACCCGCGCUGCAUUCGCAAUUUGUUAAGGUAACGGCUUACAAAGGCAACGAUGCAUCGCCGACCUGAGAGGGUGAUCGUCAACCCUGGAACGGAGACCGGGUCCGGACUCCUAGGGGAGGCGGCGGAAGGGAAUCUUCGGCAAUGGGCGAAAGCCUGACGGAGAAACGCCGCUUAAGUGAUGAAGGUUUUCGGAUCGUAAAACUCUGUUGUUAGGGAAGCGGUAUCUAACCAGAAAGCCACGGCUAACGACGUGCCAGCAGCCGCGGUAAUUC
rnacentral:rRNA from 1 species